rnacentral:rRNA from 1 species
GAUGAACGCUGGCGGCGUGCCUAAUACAUGCAAGUCGAGCGAACAGACGAGGAGCUUGCUCCUCUGACGUUAGCGGCGGACGGGUGAGUAACACGUGGAUAACCUACCUAUAAGACUGGGAUAACUUCGGGAAACCGGAGCUAAUACCGGAUAAUAUAUUGAACCGCAUGGUUCAAUAGUGAAAGACGGUUUUGCUGUCACUUAUAGAUGGAUCCGCGCCGCAUUAGCUAGUUGGUAAGGUAACGGCUUACCAAGGCAACGAUGCGUAGCCGACCUGAGAGGGUGAUCGGCCACACUGGAACUGAGACACGGUCCAGACUCCUACGGGAGGCAGCAGUAGGGAAUCUUCCGCAAUGGGCGAAAGCCUGACGGAGCAACGCCGCGUGAGUGAUGAAGGUCUUCGGAUCGUAAAACUCUGUUAUUAGGGAAGAACAAAUGUGUAAGUAACUAUGCACAUCUUGACGGUACCUAAUCAGAAAGCCACGGCUAACUACGU